rnacentral:rRNA from 1 species
AUUGAACGCUGGCGGAAUGCUUUACACAUGCAAGUCGAACGGCAGCACGGGUGCUUGCACCUGGUGGCGAGUGGCGAACGGGUGAGUAAUGCACCGGAACGUAUCCAAUAAUGGGGGAUAACGCACCGAAAGGUGUGCUAAUACCGCAUACGCCCUGAGGGGGAAAGCGGGGGAUCGUAAGACCUCGCGUUAAUGGAGCGGCCGAUGCCGGAUUAGCUAGUUGGUGAGGUAAAGGCUCACCAAGGCGACGAUCCGUAGCUGGUCCUGAGAGGACGACACGCCACACGUAGGAACUGAGACACCGGUCAGACCUACCGUACGGGAGGCAGCAGGGUAGGGGUUAAUUUUCGGGAAC